ACAAUUCGCCUUCUCCAGAAGGUCCCUCGCCAUUGCUCACGGGGCUGCCUCUCUCAAGCUCGCGUACACCACCGCCUCUGUCCGACGACUACCGUGCCACUGCCUUCAGUCGGCCCCGCCGGACGCAAACCACAGCGUAGCCAGCAACGCUGCUCGCCAGCAACAUCGUCUGCCAUCGGAGCCACCCUUUCGAACCCUGCCAUCACGCCAACCUCCACAUCGCCAGCGACACCCAGCAUCACCGGAGCUACCGCCGCAAGCCGCCGUCCACUAUCCUCUCGUAUCAUCACCGUGCCGCCAUCGCUUUUGCUCGUUCAAGCCGCCGAAUGCAACAAAACAUCCUCCAUGUGGUUGUCUGUUGUAGAUGAUUGGGGGNUUCAGGGAUGGACUUCUGCGUUGAUNUGUUGNAGCGAGAGAGAGGNCNCUCNUUUCUCGGCGUGAGUGAUUUUAGUUCAAGAUGGGUUUGAUUUUGAAAAUUGAUUGGGUUGAUUUGGGGUUUGUGUUGGUUAAGGGUUUUUGGAUUUCUAUUGAGGAGGGAAUCUUUCAAAGAUGAUGGGUAUGUUGUAUGGAAUGAGGUUGGUGGUACUAGA
rnacentral:lncRNA from 1 species